rnacentral:rRNA from 1 species
CCUACGGGAGGCAGCAGUAGGGAAUCUUCCACAAUGGGCGAAAGCCUGAUGGCGCAACGCCGCGUGGGUGAAGAAGGUCUUCGGAUCGUAAAACCCUGUUGUUAGAGAAGAAAGUGCGUGAGAGUAACUGUUCACGUUUCGACGGUAUCUAACCAGAAAGCCACGGCUAACUACGUGCCAGCAGCCGCGGUAAUACGUAGGUGGCAAGCGUUAUCCGGAUUGAUUGGGCGUAAAGGGAACGCAGGCGGUCUUUUAAGUCUGAUGUGAAAGCCUUCGGCUUAACCGGAGUAGUGCAUUGGAAACUGGGAGACUUGAGUGCAGAAGAGGAGAGUGGAACUCCAUGUGUAGCGGUGAAAUGCGUAGAUAUAUGGAAGAACACCAGUGGCGAAAGCGGCUCUCUGGUCUGUAACUGACGCUGAGGUUCGAAAGCGUGGGUAGCAAACAGGAUUAGAUACCCGGGUAGUC